AUUGAACGCUGGCGGCAUGCCUUACACAUGCAAGUCGAACGGUAACAGGUCUUCGGAUGCUGACGAGUGGCGAACGGGUGAGUAAUACAUCGGAACGUGCCCGAUCGUGGGGGAUAACGAAGCGGAAGCUUUGCUAAUACCGCAUACGAUCUACGGAUGAAAGCAGGGGACCGCAAGGCCUUGCGCGAACGGAGCGGCCGAUGGCAGAUUAGGUAGUUGGUGGGAUAAAAGCUUACCAAGCCGACGAUCUGUAGCUGGUCUGAGAGGACGACCAGCCACACUGGGACUGAGACACGGCCCAGACUCCUACGGGAGGCAGCAGUGGGGAAUUUUGGCCACUGGGCGCAAGCCUGAUCCAGCCCUGCCGCGUGCAGGAUGAAGGCCUUCGGGUUGUAAACUGCUUUUGUACGGAACGAAAAGACUCUGGUUAAUACCUGGGGUCCAUGACGGUACCGUAAGAAUAGGCACCGGCUAACUACGUG
rnacentral:rRNA from 1 species